rnacentral:rRNA from 1 species
UACGUAGGGAGCAAGCGUUGUCCGGAAUCAUUGGGCGUAAAGCGCGCGUAGGUGGCUCCAUAAGUCCGUUGUGAAAGUCAAAGGCUCAACCUUUGAAAGCCGAUGGAUACUGUGGAGCUAGAGUACGGAAGAGGCGAGUGGAAUUCCUGGUGUAGCGGUGGAAUGCGCAGAUAUCAGGAGGAACACCAAUAGCGAAGGCAGCUCGCUGGGACGUUUACUGACACUGAGGCGCGAAAGCGUGGGGAGCGAACAGG